rnacentral:rRNA from 1 species
GCGUUCUGUAAGCCGUUGAAGGUGUGCUGUGAGGCAUGCUGGAGGUAUCAGAAGUGCGAAUGCUGACAUAAGUAACGAUAAAGCGGGUGAAAAGCCCGCUCGCCGGAAGACCAAGGGUUCCUGUCCAACGUUAAUCGGGGCAGGGUGAGUCGACCCCUAAGGCGAGGCCGAAAGGCGUAGUCGAUGGGAAACAGGUUAAUAUUCCUGUACUUGGUGUUACUGCGAAGGGGGGACGGAGAAGGCUAUGUCAGCCGGGCGACGGUUGUCCCGGUUUAAGCAUGUAGGCGGAGGUUCCAGGUAAAUCCGGUACCUUAUUAACGCUGAGGUGUGAUGACGAGGCACUACGGUGCUGAAGUGAUAAAUGCCCUGCUUCCAGGAAAA